rnacentral:rRNA from 1 species
UACGUAGGGGGCAAGCGUUGUCCGGAUUUAUUGGGCGUAAAGAGCGUGUAGGCGGCCAUACAGGUCCGUUGUGAAAACUGGAGGCUUAACCUCCAGACGUCGAUGGAAACCGUAUGGCUAGAGUCCGGAAGAGGAGAGUGGAAUUCCUGGUGUAGCGGUGAAAUGCGCAGAUAUCAGGAAGAACACCCGUGGCGAAGGCGGCUCUCUGGGACGGUACUGACGCUGAGACGCGAAAGCGU